ensembl:snRNA U6 U6 spliceosomal RNA
UCCAGAUGAUCUGGGAGCAUUUCAAAAUAGAAUGUAAAGAUUAGCACAGUCCCUGCGCAAAGAUAACACGCAAAUUCCUGAAGCGUUCCAUAUUAAA